rnacentral:tRNA from 1 species
AAUAAGAUGCCUGAAAAAAAAGGAUUAUUUUGAUAGAAUAAAUUAUACAUUUUAUGUUCUUAUUA